rnacentral:rRNA from 1 species
UACAGAGGUCCCAAGCGUUGUUCGGAUUCAUUGGGCGUAAAGGGUGCGUAGGCGGCGCGGUAAGUCGGGUGUGAAAUCUCGGGGCUUAACUCCGAAACUGCAUUCGAUACUGCCGUGCUUGAGGACUGGAGAGGAGACUGGAAUUUACGGUGUAGGGGUGAAAUGCGUAGAUAUCGUAAGGAAGACCAGUGGCGAAGGCGGGUCUCUGGACAGUUCCUGACGCUGAGGCACGAAGGCCAGGGGAGCAAACGGG